CUCAUCAUCUCAUCCAAUUCCUUAAUUUACACUGAUAUCUUUAAAUCUUUUGCUUCACUUAACAACCAUGGUUUCUGGAACCAUUUUGGCAGAGCACACCUCUGCAGUCCCAGCAGAUAGGCUAUGGAAAGCAUCAUUCUGUGAUGGCCAUAACCUCAUCCCUAAACUUCUGCCCGGAAUCAUCUCAAGCAUUGAUAUACUUGAAGGAGAUGGUGCUGCGGUUGGCUCCGUCAAGAAGUUCAACUUCACCGAUGGUUUGUUUGAACUUACAAUUCCUUAUUCAUUAUGCAUAGUAAACAACUAUACAUACAUGCAUGUACAUGCGGGAGUUGCUCUAUUUUGUUUUUGACAAUAAGAUUCACUUUGUGCAGUUAUCAAGGACUAUAGCUAUGUCAAGGAUCGUGUGGAGGUGAUGGACCAAGAGAAUCACAUAGUCAGGUAUUCUACCCUUGAAGGCGGUGUUAUUGGUGUCAAAGUGAAGUCCUACAGUGUUGAGAUUAGUUUGACAUCAACCAGUGAAGGAGGAUGCUUGUCCAAGAUGAAGAUUGAAUAUGAAUCAAUCGGGGACAGCUUACUAUCCGAGGAAGAUGCCAAUGAUAUGCAGCAAGGAAUCUUUGCUAUGGUGAAGGCUAUUGAUGCUCACCUGGUGGAAAACCCUACUGCUUAUGCGUGACCAAAUAUGAAGUCUUGUGGGCAUCUUUAAUGGGUUCAGAAUUCUGGUGUUUGCUACGACGUUUGUGUGUAUUUGAUGUUUUAUCGCAAAUGAAAUAAAUUACUUCUGUCAUGAAGAUCCAUAAAUAUGCAAGCAAUUCUACUAUCCUUGAGCGUUUACCACAAAAAGAACGAAAUUAGUGCACAAUUGUCAACUUCCCUUCAGCAAAGAAUGGGAAGGGGGGUCACAUUCCAUAACUUGAAUGAGCUUUAAUCUGUUUUUAUUUCUGCAUGCUGGUUGGACAACGACUGAGAAAAUUGUCCGCUCCAAUAAAAAUAAAUGCGUAUAGUUAAUAUUUAUUAUAGCACAAACCUAUGGGUGGAUAGAUCAUAUCAUGGAAAUGGCCGGCGAUCAAAGGAAGAUGAGCAAGAACAACUUAUGUAUAUUAGUUUGUAUAGCAUGUAUAUGAUGUUGCGAUGAUCAUCUUUGCGGAUCAGGAUAGUUAGGAAUGAUGUGAGUAGAAAGGAUAAUAAAUUCAUAUCUUUUAUCAGUAGAAAAAAAAAAUAAGAGUCACCACCUAAUAUUUUAGUCAUUAAAAACCCUAACUAGUAUUAGAGUCAGGAGCAGAGCCUUUCACAAGGCUUCGUUGGGCUGUAGCCUAGGUAGGAUAAUAAUUAAAAAAAACUCAAAAAAACUCUGAUGAGUCAAACCUCUUCCGAGUCAUCAAUGUUGCAGCCACUCAGUUACUUUCUUCGCCAUAGCAAACCAUAUGUUCACAAUUGUUGGUGAUGAUGUCUCCUAUCUCAAGCCCUUUACCACCUCACUCAUCAUGCUAGGACCUCGCCAAACCAUGUAUGUUUUGAUCUCUGGAGACCGAUUACCUAGUCGAUAUUAUAUGACAGCCUGAGCUUAUCAAGGUGCACAAAAUGCACCAUUUGAUAGCACUACAACCAGGGGUGAAGGCAUGUUAAAGGUUUAGGUAGGCUCCCAGGUUAAGAUUUUAUCAAUAUUUUUUUACUAGUUUUAUGUAUAAAAAAAUUUAUAAUUCUCGAUUGAGUUAUUAAAAAAUUCUAAAAAUUUAUGUGGAGCCUUUUAAUAUGAUGUUUUAGCUUGUGUUAAAAUUUAAGAAUUUUUGGAGAAAUUCAGAAAUUUGAUGAAAAAUCACAAUUUGACUAGUUUUAUGUUAUUGGGCCUAAUUUUCAAUCUGACCAUCAGAUUGAGCUUAAAUUUUACGAGGGAUCUUAAAAUAUAUUGAAUAAAAUUUGGUUAAAAUUUUAGGAUGAACGGGGCUUGGUAGUGCUGACAAAAAAAAAGAUCGUCAAAUAAAAGCAAAACGACUCAUUAAGGAUAAAAUGGUUAUUUGCCAUUAAAAAUAAAAACAAAUCAGCUCUUUCUUCCUUUUAUAUGUUGCCAACUGGGCAGAAGCAUAAUAGGAAAAGAAAAAACAAAAAGUUGAGAGAGAAAGAGAUAAAAGUAAGGGAAAAGAAAUUCAAGGAAAAAAAAUAAGAAAAGUGAGAGAAUAACCUUGUAAAUUUACAAAGUCCAACUUAUAAAACACUAAUCUAAGGAAGAAUCAAGUGAAGGAAGGAGGAAUUGAGAGAGGGAAAAAAAUUUAAUUAUUUUGUUUUCUAGUUGACGUAAGAUUUUUAUUUUAUCCCGGUUGAGGAGUUGUUACAAUAUCGAUUCAGAUUUGAUUAUAGAUGAAUUGUAUUCCACAAAACAUCGAAGGAUAUAACUUCAAUAAUGAAUUUAUUUUUACUUUCACUUCAUUUUUAUGUAUUUUUAAAUUUAUUUUUUAAUAUUUUGGAUAGUGUAUUUGAAUUAAAACUUUACUUUUAACUUUAAAAAUUCAUGUACAUGAGGUAAUAAUUGAUCUUAACAAAAAUUUAUAUAUUUAUUUAAUAGCGCAGGGCAGGAAAAAUUCCUGGCUCUGCCCUUAAUUAGAGUAUGGAAAAAAAAAGGACUGAUUUUGUAACUAGAAGGUAUUAACACCCCUAAUAUAUCUUACAUGAGGUAAAUUGUAUUGUUUAUUUGUCUGAUAUAAAUUAAGAAAAAGUUAUGUUUUUUAAUUGUUGAUCUGUCUAAGAUUUAAGAAAAAUCAUUCUCAGUAAGGGUGUCUUUAUGUUAUCACAUUAAAAACCUAAUUGUUAUAAUGCCAACAAAAAAAAUAAAUUGUCUUGUUAUUUAAUAUUAGGAAUAUGACUUAUGUAUAAGUUCAUAAUCUCGCGUAUUAAAAGAAACAAAAUAAAUUUUUUUUGAUAUUUUUGAAAUAUAGGCCAAAAUCCUUUGGAAAUUUACAUAUUUGUUGUGCAAUCCAUGCAAUAUUUUUUAAAAACAUGUUAAAGUAUUUUAGGUUAAAAAAAUACAUAAAUAACUUUAGGAUUUUUAGCCAUAUGUAAGAAAAAAAAAGAAAAUAUUUUUUAUUUUUUUUAUCUAACCCGACUGGGGUUGACCUGAAAUUUUUGGUUUGACCAUAAACUGAACCAAAAAUUCCGGUUUGACUCGAAAAACAACCCAAAAACAAAAAUAAAGCAAAAAAACAAAUUAAACACCUAAAAAAACACAAAAACUCAAAAAAUCUUGACUGAAACGUAUCAUACACAAAAAAUGAACGCCAAGAAAACCCGAAACAAACCCAACAACAUAAACUCAAAUCCAAACCAGAUUUCAUGAAAUCAAAAGCACAGAAAGGUUGUAAAUCAUUUAUGGAUCAAGAAUUAAGAGUUCAUUCACUUCGAUUAUCAUUAAAUCAUCAUGAUUUGACCAAAAUGAGUUUCGGUUCAAAACUAAAACUCUAGGAUUAAAAAUCAUUAUAAACGUGUUAUUAGUGUAAAUAAUCACUAGAUUAUUGGUUAAUCAUGCAUAAGAAAGGGUUCUGUAAAAAUAAAUGAAUUAAUAUUGAUUCAAAUCAAGGAUCUAAGGCAAAGUUCUUUUCAAAAACACCAAGAACAUUGCUUAGAACCCAACAAAAAACUCAGUCAUGAGGCAACCAUUGCCAAGCCCAAAAAUGAGCAUUUUUUGCCUCUAAAACAUGUUUUUUUUAUCCCAACAAGUCACAAUAUUAUACAUAAACAUGUUUGAAUCUAAAACUAACAAAAAAAAAACAUCAAAAUCAAGCAUGAGAUACCAAUCCAAAAACAAACAACCUAAAACAUCAUACAUGUUCAUGUAACAUGGAUUCAAAAUUGGUUUCUUGAACCCAUUUUGUGCAAGAAUAAGUUUAACAGGCUAAGGAUAAACACUCUUACUUUAACAUGUAUAGCUUAAGCUAAACCAAAACUAAAACAACAUUUAUAUAUCAAAAAAAAAAACUUAAACAACAACUUUAAUACAUAAAAAAUAUAAAAAAAAAAACUUUUAAAAAACUUCAUUAAAUAGAAAUCAGAGCAAGAAAGAGGUGAAUGCAACAUCAUUUGGAAAACAUUUCAAACCUCUUUUCUAUACUUGUAACUAUAAAUGCAAGCCAAAAGCAACAAAAAAAAACAACAAAAGCAAGCUAUAAAGGAUCUCUUUUUGGGUCUGCAAUGUAUACCUAGAACAAUUAUUCUCUUUUAGCUUUCAUUUGUAAAAUUUUACUUCUCACAAACUUAACAAAACUUAAGAAAACUUUUCUUUAGGCUUUUAGACCUCUAUCCUUUAUUUUUUUUAUUGAUAUUUCUCUAUUCUUUCUUAUCUUUUCUUACCUUUUUCUUUUUUUCUUUUUCUUUUUUUUUCAACUCUAUUCUUGAUCUUGAGGGGGUGUUUAUAGAGUUUUGUUAGGAUUUUGAAAUGUUUUAAAUUCAUUUAUAACCUCUUGAUCUUGAGGGGAGUGUAGUGAACCCUUAAUAAGAUCCUAUUGAUGAGCCUUUGUGUGUGAAUACACGAAAACCAAACCAUUUUUUGCUUGAUAAUUGCAAUAUUGAGAUUAAUUGAGUUGCCCACUUUUUAAGUUUUAUUAGAGCAAUUCUCACGUCAUCAUCAUUUAAAACCAUUUAAAGUUGGUAAAGAGGAACAUAUUUUUCAUUUAGAUCCCAUCUUAUUUAAUUUAAAGAUUUAUAUCUUCACAUGCAUUCAUUUGAAGUUUUCAAAGUGUAUAUAUAUAAAGAAGUGAGUAGGAGUAGGUGAGUUUACAAAGUCAGCUUCGAGGAUCCCACGUCCCUUAAAGAAUAGGUCGUCCCUAAAAGAGGAGGUGAUUAAUCGCAGACUUGGAGCUGGCCACAGAUCAUGGUACGGUGCAGGUUGUCAUAUAUAAAUAUUUAUAUAAAUCAAAAUCAAGGUAAUUAAUUAAAUUAAUAGCAACUAGAAAUUUUUUUUGAGAACCCGCCAGUCCACUAAUUAAGGGAUGGUCAUGGGUUGGUAGGUUUUGUUUUUGUUUUGUUUUUUGAUUUGGUGAACGAAGGAAAGUUGGAUGCAUGAACUGUUCACCAAUUGAUCGUCCCCUCAAACCUAUAUAAAUCUACUGAUCUGCAUCCAAUUUCUCAUCAUCUCAUCCAAUUCCUUAAUUUACACUGAUAUCUUUAAAUCUUUUGCUUCACUUAACAACCAUGGUUUCUGGAACCAUUUUGGCAGAGUACACCUCUGCAGUCCCAGCAGAUAGGCUAUGGAAAGCAUCAUUCUGUGAUGGCCAUAACCUCAUCCCUAAACUUCUGCCCGGAAUCAUCUCAAGCAUUGAUAUACUUGAAGGAGAUGGUGCCGGGGUUGGAUCCGUCAAGAAGUUCAACUUCACCGAUGGUUUGUUUGAGCU
rnacentral:lncRNA from 1 species